rnacentral:rRNA from 1 species
GGCGGCGUGGAUAGACAUGCAAGUCGAACGUGAUCUCCGGAUAGCUUGCUAACUGGAGUGAAAGUGGCGGACGGGUGCGUAACACGUGAGCAACCUGCCCUGAAGUGGGGGAUAGCUCUCCGAAAGGAGGAUUAAUACCGCAUGUGGUCUUCGGAUCAAAGGUGGCUUCGGCUGCCGCUUCAGGAUGGGCUCGCGGCCUAUCAGCUUGUUGGUGAGGUAAUAGCUCACCAAGGCGACGACGGGUAGCUGGUCUGAGAGGACGAUCAGCCUCACUGGAACUGAGACACGGUCCAGACACCUACGGGUGGCAGCAGUCGAGAAUCAUUCACAAUGGGGGAAACCCUGAUGGUGCAACGCCGCGUGGAGGAUGACGGCCCUCGGGUUGUAAACUCCUGUCAUCUGGGAGUAAUCCUUAUUCGUUAAUAGCGUGUAAGGUUGAUAGUACCAGAAGAGGAAGGGACGGCUAACUUCGUGCCAGCAGCCGCGGUAAUACGAAGGUCCCAAGCGUUGUUCGGAAUCACUGGGCGUAAAGCGUGCGUAUGCGGCGCGGAAAGUCAGAUGUGAAAUCUCUGGGCUCAACCCGGAGACUGCAUCCGAUACUCCCGCGCU